rnacentral:rRNA from 1 species
GUGGGGGAUAUUGCACAAUGGAGGAAACUCUGAUGCAGCGACGCCGCGUGAGUGAAGAAGUAUUUCGGUAUGUAAAGCUCUAUCAGCAGGGAAGAUAAUGACAGUACCUGACUAAGAAGCCCCGGCUAACUACGUGCCAGCAGCCGCGGUAAUACGUAGGGGGCAAGCGUUAUCCGGAUUUACUGGGUGUAAAGGGAGCGUAGACGGAAUGGCAAGUCUGAAGUGAAAUCCUGCGGCUUAACUGCAGAAUUGCUUUGGAAACUGUCAAUCUGGAGUGUUGGAGAGGUAAGCGGAAUUCCUGGUGUAGCGGUGAAAUGCGUAGAUAUCAGGAAGAACACCGGAGGCGAAGGCGGCUUACUGGACAAUAACUGACGUUGAGGCUCGAAAGCGUGGGAAGCAAACAGGAUUAGAAACCCCAGUAGUCC